GGGUUGUGAGGUUAAGCGACUAAGCGUACACGGUGGAUGCCCUGGCAGUCAGAGGCGAUGAAGGACGUGCUAAUCUGCGAUAAGCGUCGGUAAGGUGAUAUGAACCGUUAUAACCGGCGAUUUCCGAAUGGGGAAACCCAGUGUGUUUCGACACACUAUCAUUAACUGAAUCCAUAGGUUAAUGAGGCGAACCGGGGGAACUGAAACAUCUAAGUACCCCGAGGAAAAGAAAUCAACCGAGAUUCCCCCAGUAGCGGCGAGCGAACGGGGAGCAGCCCAGAGCCUGAAUCAGUGUGUGUGUUAGUGGAAGCGUCUGGAAAGGCGCGCGAUACAGGGUGACAGCCCCGUACACAAAAAUGCACAUGCUGUGAGCUCGAUGAGUAGGGCGGGACACGUGGUAUCCUGUCUGAAUAUGGGGGGACCAUCCUCCAAGGCUAAAUACUCCUGACUGACCGAUAGUGAACCAGUACCGUGAGGGAAAGGCGAAAAGAACCCCGGCGAGGGGAGUGAAAAAGAACCUGAAACCGUGUACGUACAAGCAGUGGGAGCCUCUUUAUGGGGUGACUGCGUACCUUUUGUAUAAUGGGUCAGCGACUUAUAUUCUGUAGCAAGGUUAACCGAAUAGGGGAGCCGAAGGGAAACCGAGUCUUAACUGGGCGUUAAGUUGCAGGGUAUAGACCCGAAACCCGGUGAUCUAGCCAUGGGCAGGUUGAAGGUUGGGUAACACUAACUGGAGGACCGAACCGACUAAUGUUGAAAAAUUAGCGGAUGACUUGUGGCUGGGGGUGAAAGGCCAAUCAAACCGGGAGAUAGCUGGUUCUCCCCGAAAGCUAUUUAGGUAGCGCCUCGUGAAUUCAUCUCCGGGGGUAGAGCACUGUUUCGGCAAGGGGGUCAUCCCGACUUACCAACCCGAUGCAAACUGCGAAUACCGGAGAAUGUUAUCACGGGAGACACACGGCGGGUGCUAACGUCCGUCGUGAAGAGGGAAACAACCCAGACCGCCAGCUAAGGUCCCAAAGUCAUGGUUAAGUGGGAAACGAUGUGGGAAGGCCCAGACAGCCAGGAUGUUGGCUUAGAAGCAGCCAUCAUUUAAAGAAAGCGUAAUAGCUCACUGGUCGAGUCGGCCUGCGCGGAAGAUGUAACGGGGCUAAACCAUGCACCGAAGCUGCGGCAGCGACGCUUAUGCGUUGUUGGGUAGGGGAGCGUUCUGUAAGCCUGUGAAGGUGUGCUGUGAGGCAUGCUGGAGGUAUCAGAAGUGCGAAUGCUGACAUAAGUAACGAUAAAGCGGGUGAAAAGCCCGCUCGCCGGAAGACCAAGGGUUCCUGUCCAACGUUAAUCGGGGCAGGGUGAGUCGACCCCUAAGGCGAGGCCGAAAGGCGUAGUCGAUGGGAAACAGGUUAAUAUUCCUGUACUUGGUGUUACUGCGAAGGGGGGACGGAGAAGGCUAUGUUGGCCGGGCGACGGUUGUCCCGGUUUAAGCGUGUAGGCUGGUUUUCCAGGCAAAUCCGGAAAAUCAAGGCUGAGGCGUGAUGACGAGGCACUACGGUGCUGAAGCAACAAAUGCCCUGCUUCCAGGAAAAGCCUCUAAGCAUCAGGUAACAUCAAAUCGUACCCCAAACCGACACAGGUGGUCAGGUAGAGAAUACCAAGGCGCUUGAGAGAACUCGGGUGAAGGAACUAGGCAAAAUGGUGCCGUAACUUCGGGAGAAGGCACGCUGAUAUGUAGGUGAGGUCCCUCGCGGAUGGAGCUGAAAUCAGUCGAAGAUACCAGCUGGCUGCAACUGUUUAUUAAAAACACAGCACUGUGCAAACACGAAAGUGGACGUAUACGGUGUGACGCCUGCCCGGUGCCGGAAGGUUAAUUGAUGGGGUUAGCGGUAACGCGAAGCUCUUGAUCGAAGCCCCGGUAAACGGCGGCCGUAACUAUAACGGUCCUAAGGUAGCGAAAUUCCUUGUCGGGUAAGUUCCGACCUGCACGAAUGGCGUAAUGAUGGCCAGGCUGUCUCCACCCGAGACUCAGUGAAAUUGAACUCGCUGUGAAGAUGCAGUGUACCCGCGGCAAGACGGAAAGACCCCGUGAACCUUUACUAUAGCUUGACACUGAACAUUGAGCCUUGAUGUGUAGGAUAGGUGGGAGGCUUUGAAGUGUGGACGCCAGUCUGCAUGGAGCCGACCUUGAAAUACCACCCUUUAAUGUUUGAUGUUCUAACGUUGACCCGUAAUCCGGGUUGCGGACAGUGUCUGGUGGGUAGUUUGACUGGGGCGGUCUCCUCCUAAAGAGUAACGGAGGAGCACGAAGGUUGGCUAAUCCUGGUCGGACAUCAGGAGGUUAGUGCAAUGGCAUAAGCCAGCUUGACUGCGAGCGUGACGGCGCGAGCAGGUGCGAAAGCAGGUCAUAGUGAUCCGGUGGUUCUGAAUGGAAGGGCCAUCGCUCAACGGAUAAAAGGUACUCCGGGGAUAACAGGCUGAUACCGCCCAAGAGUUCAUAUCGACGGCGGUGUUUGGCACCUCGAUGUCGGCUCAUCACAUCCUGGGGCUGAAGUAGGUCCCAAGGGUAUGGCUGUUCGCCAUUUAAAGUGGUACGCGAGCUGGGUUUAGAACGUCGUGAGACAGUUCGGUCCCUAUCUGCCGUGGGCGCUGGAGAACUGAGGGGGGCUGCUCCUAGUACGAGAGGACCGGAGUGGACGCAUCACUGGUGUUCGGGUUGUCAUGCCAAUGGCACUGCCCGGUAGCUAAAUGCGGAAGAGAUAAGUGCUGAAAGCAUCUAAGCACGAAACUUGCCCCGAGAUGAGUUCUCCCUGACUCCUUGAGAGUCCUGAAGGAACGUUGAAGACGACGACGUUGAUAGGCCGGGUGUGUAAGCGCAGCGAUGCGUUGAGCUAACCGGUACUAAUGAACCGUGAGGCUUAACCUUACAACGCCGAAG
rnacentral:rRNA from 1 species